rnacentral:rRNA from 1 species
GACAGAGGAUGCAAGCGUUAUCCGGAAUGAUUUGGGCGGUAAAGCGUCUGUAGGUGGCUUUUUAAGUCCGCCGUCAAAAUCCCAGGGCGUCAAACCCCUGGACAGGCGGUGGAAACUACCAAGGCUGGGAGUACGGUAGGGGCAGAGGGAAUUUCCGGUGGAGCGGUGAAAUGCGUAGAGAUCGGAAAGAACACCAACGGCGAAAGCACUCUGCUGGGCCGACACUGACACUGAGAGACGAAAAGCUAGGGGAGCAAAUGGG